rnacentral:snoRNA from 2 species
AGACCGUGAUGUGGGCAUUUCCUUAGUAGCUCCUUGAACCUUUCCCAUAUCUCGUACAAGGAUUCCCCGUCUUCUUGAGAGUAGGUUUUGAUCUCGCUUAUGAGUUU